rnacentral:rRNA from 1 species
UACGUAGGGGGCAAGCGUUGUCCGGAAUCAUUGGGCGUAAAGGGCGCGCAGGCGGCAGAUCAAGUCAGACGUGAAAGCCCCGGGCUUAACCUGGGAACUGCGUUUGGGACUGGUUUGCUAGAGAUCGGGAGAGGAGAGUGGAAUUCCCAGUGUAGAGGUGAAAUUCGUAGAUAUUGGGAAGAACACCGGUGGCGAAGGCGGCUCUCUGGACCGAUACUGACGCGGAGGCGCGAAAGCGUGGGGAGCAAACAGG